GCUCAGAACGAACGCUGGCGGCGUGGAUAAGACAUGCAAGUCGGACGCUGGACGGGAGGUAGCAAUAUUUUUCGUCCGGAGUGGCGCAAGGGUGAGCAACACGUGGGUAAUCUGCCAAGAAGCCCGGAAUAACUCCGAGAAAUCGGAGCUAAUGCCGGAUGUGACCGGAGGCUGGCAUCAGCCUCCGUUCGAAGCCGGGGACCGCAAGGCCUGGCACUUCUUGAUGAGCCCGCGGCCUAUCAGCUAGUUGGCGGGGUAACGGCCCACCAAGGCUAAGACGGGUAGCUGGUCUGAGAGGACGACCAGCCACACUGGAACUGAGACACGGUCCAGACACCUACGGGUGGCAGCAGUCGAGAAUUUUUCACAAUGGGGGAAACCCUGAUGGAGCGACGCCGCGUGGGGGAUGAAUGGCUUCGGCCCGUAAACCCCUGUCAUUUGCGAACAAACCCCGUGGCUGAACAGGCCGCGGGCUGAUAGUAGCAGAAGAGGAAGGGACGGCUAACUCUGUGCCAGCAGCCGCGGUAAUACAGAGGUCCCGAGCGUUGUUCGGAUUCACUGGGCGUAAAGGGUGCGUAGGCGGUGGGGUAAGUUUAAGGUGAAAUCUCCGGGCUCAACCCGGAAAAUGCCUCGAAUACUAUCCCGCUGGA
rnacentral:rRNA from 1 species